UCCGUAGACUGUAUUGUAAGUUAUUUGUUAAAUCCUAAAGCCUAACUUUAGAAAAGCAUUUAAUACUACUAUACUUGAGUUUUUUGUAGAAGAGUAGAAUUUCAUGUCGAGGAGUAACGACUGCAGACACAUGAAGGAAUAUCAGCAGCGAAGGCGGCUCUUUGGUAAAAACUGACGUUGAGGGACGAAAGUGUAGGUAGCAAACA
rnacentral:rRNA from 1 species